AGAAAAAGGUAAGGGAGUGGAGGCUGAGAAAAGGCCGCAGUGGAUGCUAGGCUAAGGAAAAGUGAUGAAGAAGUAGGUCACUAGGUAGGGAAGAUAGAGUGUUAGUGAAGAAAUCAAUUUCUUAUCCAGCCCAGAAAUGUUGCAGGUCAUAGUGUAGAAGGGCAUUUAAUCUGAGGAAGUCUAAAGCUCAUUAGGAGGCUAGGCUGAGAAUGGAGGGAAAAAAAGAAACAUGAGGCUUGCAACAAGACCAAAAAAGAGGCAGAAAAAGAGACAAAAAAAGAAAGAAAUCAGUAUUACAGCUUUGUGAGUGUGGAGUCUGCUUUCCUUUCCCUGCCAUGGAUGUAGUGCUGGUUUGGAGUACAUCCAAUCAGAUGAGAGGACCGUGGCCCUUGUCAUAAUGACAACCAUGACAUCAUGGCAAGGGCUAGCGGAGAGAAGACAGCGGAGCUCCAGACAGACAGCGGGGCUGCGCCGGGGCUGCACGCCGACCAACACGCACCGGCUGCCGGGUCGAAACCGCGCGGACUAUCAUGUGGUGGUGUGGCGGUGGGGGUUUACCAGAGGAAAGUGCGGGAUAGGUGCCGGCGACUGGAGCUCUGCCCCGGACAAGCUGAGGCUCCCUCAUCUGGGGUGGGGGGGAAGCGAGAAAAAGACACGGAGGAGGUUGAGCGAAAUGGCAACUUGUUUAAUUUCUGCCAAUCAAGACGAGAGGAAGACAACUCCCAAACUGGCAUGAUGUAAUGAGAGAGCGAAGAUGCGAUUGAGAGACUGGGACAAUGGGAAAUGGAUGGCAAAUAGGAAAUGCGAGGUUGUUGGGCCACUGUUCCUGCAGAACUACCUUGAUGUUGGGGCCUAACAACAUGUCUUCUCUGCGUGUCUGCUUGAGCUGAGAUCGCCGCUUUGAGCCAGCAAAGAAACAAGUCAAAUAUUUUCCAGAGGAGCAGCGGCUGCUGUAAUCUCCACUGUUCAAUUAGCUGCACUGACCGGGACGCCACCUACACUUCAUUAGCUGGAAGGGAAAGGUGAUGCUGACGGUGUAACAUCAACCAAGCGCAAGAGAUGGAGAAGAUUCUGACAUUUCCCAGAAACACACACACACACACACACACACACACACACACACACACACACACACACACACACACAUGGAGGAUAGUAAAUGGGAGACUUGUGUCGGGAGUGUGAGUCAUUUCCAAGUGAAGAAAACAGAAUUAAACUGAAUCAGGCUGAACUGAAACGACCUGAGCUGAAAAGACAGUUUCAGCUGGACAGCUCUCUGAAGGUGUCGAGGGGAAAAAAAAAAAUUAGAUGACAAAUAAUUUGAAAAUAAUGCAGAUGGCAGCCUGUGGUUUCUCAGGGGUGGCCCUGCUAGAUUUCCUCUUCUUUUUUCAUUUUCUCAUUCAAAUUAUGUUCUAUGACAUUCAUUAAACCUUAAAUCUCAAUGAAUUUUGACACUGUAUAAUGUCAGCAUGCAUAUACCAUCUAUUUUAUUAUUAUUUUGUCUCAUGUUAUAUCCAGCAGAAGUGUACAUUAGGAAUCGUUAUGUUUCAGUUUUUUUGUAUGUGUAACAAUAUUUAUUUUGAAAUUAAAGAGAUAUCUUUUUUAAAAAAAAAUCUAUUUUGAGUUAGUUGGUGUUGUUUGGUUGCCGCUUUCAAAUCUUUUGUCUUUUUUUUACCCAAAGCCAGUUGUCUCAGUUUACACUUUGUAAUGAUAGCAAAUUAUUGUUUCCCAUCUGAGCUGCACACUUGCAUCAAUGAAUCAAUAUCAGGAUAACCAGUACAACAUAUUUGCUCCUCUGAACACCACUAGUUUCAAUGACCUUUACAUUUUCAGUUAAACUUCAGUUACUUUAUCAUAAGACAUGAAUAGUUGAUUUUGACAUACCUGGAGUAUAUAUAUAUGAUGGUUUAUUUCCACAAACUGUUCUCUUCUAUGCGUGAACUUAAAGUCACCUAUUGUCUAAUUGUGCCCCCUUCAUUUUGGCCCCUUUUCUACACAA